rnacentral:lncRNA from 1 species
UAUGACUAUUUGGUUUGUGGGGAACAAUCAAUGUUUAGAAUUUAUGAUUUUUGAUAUGCUCGUAUUUUAAAAAAUACGUUCUCGAACGCAUCCAAUAUCAAGCAUUUUAAGAAAAUUAAAAUGAGCGGGCAGCUAAUCAGAAGAUAUAAAAUGUCUAUACUAAUAUGAGGAAAAUUAAAUUAUGUUAACAUGCGAAACUUGCAGAGACCAAUAUGAAAUAUCAAAAUAGUACAGGGA